CUUGUCAGUCCGCUGUGGCAGCUGUAAGGGAAAGAAUCGGACGGAGAAGAAUGAAAAACCACUUCGUUCUAGCAGAGCGAAAGAAAAUUAAGGAUUAUCAGACUGUUCCGGGUAUCUUUAAAGUUCGCCCUGGUUUGCAUGACUACAAGAGGCUAAGAUGUGUGUGUAACCUGUGACUGCAGGAGAACCGAACGGGGCUAAAUCGGUGCUGAGAGGAGCUGUAGACGGGGCCAACUUCGAAGGUCCUCGUGGCCGAAUGAUCUUCCAUCACUCAGGGAGCUGAAACUUGAUGCCUUCCGACUUUCAUGUCUGUACUCUUGGCGUUGGGAAGAGCCUCGCGGGAAGGUGUUGCAAGCUUUGGUCGCAAGAGAAAGAAAUAAGUCAACUUUUUACCCCCUCUGCCUUAACACGGAGUACACCUCGGCCUUUUUCCGCUUGGAUGCUCAUUAAGAGUUAGUUGACUUUGUAGCGGAUGCAAUAAAACUUGGAUGGUUUCAGGGCCCAAACAAUCCUGGUUUCUGUUUUUCUCUCUCCCCAACCACACCCCCAAGGAAAUUGCCUUUUCAGCAGGCGCCUGCGGGAAAGAACCGCAGGAGACAGAUUCCCUUGGAGACCUGCUGGGGUGGGGGAGAGCUGCGGGUAUGGAAAUAAAGGGGGCCAAGGUAAGAGCGCAGGGCG
rnacentral:lncRNA from 1 species